rnacentral:rRNA from 1 species
AACAGGAUUAGAUACCCUGGUAGUCCACGCCCUAAACGAUGCGAACUGGACGUCGGGCUCAAUUAGGAGCUCAGUGUCGAAGCUAACGCGUUAAGUUCGCCGCCUGGGGAGUACGGUCGCAAGACUGAAACUCAAAGGAAUUGACGGGGACCCGCACAAGCGGUGGAUGAUGUGGUUUAAUUCGAUGCAACGCGAAAAACCUUACCUACCCUUGACAUGCCUGGAAUCCUGCAGAGAUGUGGGAGUGCUCGAAAGAGAACCAGGACACAGGUGCUGCAUGGCCGUCGUCAGCUCGUGUCGUGAGAUGUUGGGUUAAGUCCCGCAACGAGCGCAACCCUUGUCAUUAGUUGCAAAGAAAGGGCACUCUAAUGAGACUGCCGGUGACAAACCGGAGGAAGGUGGGGAUGACGUCAGGUCCUCAUGGCCCUUAUGGGUAGGGCUACACACGUCAUACAAUGGCCGGUACAGAGGGCUGCCAACCCGCGAGGGGGAGCUAAUCCCAGAAAACCGGUCGUAGUCCGGAUCGCAGUCUGCAACUCGACUGCGUGAAGUCGGAAUCGCUAGUAAUCGCGGAUCAGCUUGCCGCGGUGAAUACGUUCCCGGGUCUUGUACACACCGCCCGUCACACCAUGGGAGCGGGUUCUGCCAGAAGUAGUUAGCCUAACCGCAAGGGGGGCGAUUACCACGGCAGGGUUCGUGACUGGGGUGAAGUCGUAACAAGGUAACC